GAGUAUCGGGUAUAAUGAGGUUUCAGGCGUGGAUCACUCUUUUCAGUGUAUCACUGCCAAGUGUGAUCUUGGUAGGGGGGUGUUGUAGUGGCGCCUGUCCAACCAAAAAUAUCGGAUAACCGUCCCACGGUUUCCCCUUCCCUUAGACAUGCACCUUGCACCUUUUGGGCAGUUACGCGCAAGAAAAAAUGACAUAAGUUAACAGCGGCUACUGUCAAGGUGUGGUGAGAGAAGGGGAAUGAGAGAACCAAGGGCUCAAGCGGAAGGAGAGUGGCUUGGGCAUGUUCUUUCCAAUUUUACUCGCGAUCCCAGACGGACGUCUGAGGAAAAUACUCAAGUAGUGCAGUGAAAGGAAAAAUUCUAACCUCGACCGUAAAUACCGCGUGUCCAUCGUGGCUAAGAUCUAGUCAAAAGAUCAGCCGACCAUUCCUACGUUUAUUAAGCGAAGGCCGAACCCAUCGGGUUUGGCCGUACGUAAUACCGUACGAAACGCCGGUCGUAGUGCCGUAAGCCGUACUCACUACAGUCUCGUCACUUUACCACACAUAUAAAUCCCCAGCGUCCCGAUCGACUACAGUAUGGGUUAGCCGUCUUCGACCCCAAAUCUUCUUUCGGCGUGGCGUCUGCAUACAUGUGAGCAUCACUGUAUUUACCGCAGCGUGUACCGGCGUGGGUCCACACACAUACAAGCCUUGCUCGGCCUACCCCAGUGAAAAACGUGACUUUCGUCAUUGCUACGUCGCUUACGCCGCCCGCAUACGAACAGUAACGCUAAAGGAGAAGACAUUUACCGGUGCCGAAAUACUGUUUGCGUUGCUGAUGAAGUCAUUCGGUGUCUCGAUCAUGAUGGCUAUGCCCAUGCAUUUCUUCAUAUUAGAAUAAUACUUUGGAACCCCACUAUUGUACUGACCCUAGGAUUAACAUUAAAAGUUAAUUUCGUGUGAUUCGGUUUGUUUGGUUUAUCAUAAAGAAAUGUGCAGCUAGAAGGAAAGGAACUAAAACUAAUACUCGCGCGUAUCGCCUAUCUACUCUGACACACUGAUAUUUACAAGUUUUCAGCCACCCUCAUCGACCACAUGGAAGCGCUUUCAUCGUUGGAUUUGAUCGUAAUGUGAGUGAUAACCUGUGAACGUCUGCUAUAUGUGAAUUCAAAAUUUUACGCAAGUCGAAGCUGCAUUAAAGAUUCUAUGCCUCGACCGUAAACUUCCCAGCCGUACUGUAACGCUGACCAAUCCAAGUGUUCACGUGUUUGUUUUGUUCUGCUCUUUCGCAAGCCAUGUAACUUUCUGCAAUUCCGAAGCUAUCGACAACCGAACUUAUGAUUGGUUUGCUGUGCACUUUAAAGAUCCAUCCUUCCGUCCCUUGUUUUUGCAUUUAAACUGAAAACCAUUCGAAUAUAUUUCUAUUUGUGUAACGUAAUUACCUUUAUUCCUGAAUAUACUCUUUAUAAUUAGUUGACCCUAGUCUAAUAAGAUCUUUCAUCAUGAUAUUUUUAUAUAUAUAAUUAAUCUUAAUUGC